UAAGGAAUAUUGGUCAAUGGACGCAAGUCUGAACCAGCCAUGCCGCGUGAAGGAUGAAGGUCCUCUGGAUUGUAAACUUCUUUUAUCUGGGACGAAAACGGGAUUUUUAUCUCAAUUGACGGUACCAGAGGAAUAAGCACCGGCUAACUCCGUGCCAGCAGCCGCGGUAAUACGGAGGGUGCGAGCGUUAUCCGGAUUUACUGGGUUUAAAGGGUGCGUAGGUGGGCUUAUAAAUCAGUGGUGAAAUCUCCGAGCUUAACUUGGAAACUGCCGUUGAUACUAUAGGUCUUGAAUUAUCUGGAGGUAAGCGGAAUAUGUCAUGUAGCGGUGAAAUGCUUAGAUAUGACAUAGAACACCAAUUGCGAAGGCAGCUUACUACAUAUAAAUUGACGCUGAGGCACGAAAGCGUGGGGAUCAAACA
rnacentral:rRNA from 1 species